rnacentral:rRNA from 1 species
GGCGGCAUGCCUUACACAUGCAAGUCGAACGGCAGCACGGGGGCAACCCUGGUGGCGAGUGGCGAACGGGUGAGUAAUACAUCGGAACGUGUCCUGUAGUGGGGGAUAGCCCGGCGAAAGCCGGAUUAAUACCGCAUACNCUCUACGGAGGAAAGGGGGGGAUCUUCGGACCUCCCGCUAGAGGGGCGGCCGAUGGCAGAUUAGCUAGUUGGUGGGGUAAAGGCCUACCAAGGCGACGAUCUGUAGCUGGUCUGAGAGGACGACCAGCCACACUGGGACUGAGACACGGCCCANACUCCUACGGGAGGCAGCAGUGGGGAAUUUUGGACAAUGGGCGCAAGCCUGAUCC